rnacentral:rRNA from 1 species
CAGUAGUCAUAUGCUUGUCUCAAAGAUUAAGCC